rnacentral:lncRNA from 1 species
GUGUUGUCUCUCUUUAUGUAGUGUUGUGUUGUCUCUCUCUUUAUGUAGUGUUGUGUUGUCUCUCUCUUUAUGUAGUGUUGUGUUGUCUCUCUCUUUAUGUAGUGUUGUGGUGUCUCGCUUUAUGUAGUGUUGUGGUGUCUCUCUUUAUGUAGUGUUGUGGUGUCUCUCUUUAUGUAGUGUUGUGGUGUCUCUCUCUUUAUGUAGUUGUCUCUCUCUAUAUGUAGUGUUGUGGUGUCUCUCUUCAUGUAGUGUUGUGGUGUCUCUCUCUUUAUGUAGUGUUGUGGUGUCUCU